GGCGAAACCGCAAACGGCUCAUUAAAUCAGUCUUAAUCCAAUGGAUGUUGACUCUAAACUUACUCGGAUAACCGUGGUAAUUCUAGAGCUAAUACGUGCAAUUGAGCUCCGACCCCGUCCCCUUACCGGGACGGGGAAGUGGCGCAUUUAUUAGAAUCAUAAACCGAGCGAGCUUCGGCUCGACUCAUUGCGUUUUUGAUGACUCUGGAUAACUACGCCGAGCGCUGAGGCCUUCGUGCCGGCGCCGUAUCCGCCGAGUGACUGCCUUAUCAGCUCUCGAUUGUAGGUUAUUCGCCUACAAUGGCUGUCACGGGUAACGGGGAAUCAGGGUUCGAUUCCGGAGAGGGAGCCUGAGAAACGGCUACCACAUCUAAGGAAGGCAGCAGGCACGCAAAUUACCCAAUCCCAGUACGGGGAGGUAGUGACGAAAAAUACUGAUGCGUGACCGUUCCGAGGCCACGCAAUCGGAAUGAGUCCAAAUUAAACAAGUGGACGAUAAUCCAUUGGAGGGCAAGUCUGGUGCCAGCAGCCGCGGUAAUUCCAGCUCCAAUAGUUUAUAUUAAAGUU
rnacentral:rRNA from 1 species